rnacentral:rRNA from 1 species
AGAGCGAACGCUGGCGGCGUGCUUAACACAUGCAAGUCGAGUGCGCGCCUGUAGCAAUACAGGUGGCGCACGGCGCACGGGUGCGUAACACGUGGGUAAUCUGCCCUUCGAUGGGGAAUAACUCCGGGAAACCGAAGCUAAUUCCGCAUAACAUUCCUUGGACCUCGGUUCUGGGGAUUCAAAGCCGUAAGGCGUCGGAGGAGGAACCCGCGCACGAUUAGUUAGUUGGCAGGGUAACGGCCUACCAAGACUUUGAUCGUUAGC